rnacentral:rRNA from 1 species
AACGAACGCUGGCGGCAUGCCUAACACAUGCAAGUCGAACGGUGUUCCCGCUUCGGCGGGGGCAUAGUGGCGCACGGGUGAGUAACGCGUGGGAACCUGCCCCGUGGUACGGAACAACUCCGGGAAACCGGAGCUAAUACCGUAUGUGUCCCCUGGGACAAAGAUUGCAUCGCCAUGGGAGGGGCCCGCGUAGAAUUGGGUAGUUGGAGGGGUAACGGCCCACCAAGCCCCGGAUCCUUAGCUGGUCUCGGAGGAUGAUCAGCCACCCGGGGACUGAGACACGGCCCAGACUCCUACGGGAGGCAGCAGUGGGGAAUAUUGGACAAUGGGCGCAAGCCUGAUCCAGCAAUGCCGAGUGUGUGAUGAAGGCCUUCGGGUUGUAAAGCUCUUUCGCACGCGACGAUGAUGACGGUAGCGUGAGAAGAAGCCCCGGCUAACUUCGUGCCAGCAGCCGCCGUAA